GAUGAACGCUGGCGGUAUGCCUAACACAUGCAAGUCGUACGAGAGUUUUUAACUCUAGUGGCGGACGGGUGAGUAACACGUGAGAAUUUGCCUUUAGGAGGGGGACAACAAUCGGAAACGAAUGCUAAUACCCCAUAUGCUUUCGAGUGAAAUGGAUUUUAUCCGCCUAGAGAGAAGCUCGCGGCUGAUUAGCUUGUUGGUAAGGUAAGAGCUUACCAAGGCGACGAUCAGUAUCUGGUUUGAGAGGACGAUCAGACACACUGGAACUGAGACACGGUCCAGACUCCUACGGGAGGCAGCAGUGGGGAAUUUUCCGCAAUGGGCGAAAGCCUGACGGAGCAAUACCGCGUGAGGGAUGAAGGCCUUCGGGUUGUAAACCUCUUUCAGCAGGGAAGAAGCGAAAGUGACGGUACCUGCAGAAGAAGCACCGGCUAACUAUGUG
rnacentral:rRNA from 1 species